rnacentral:rRNA from 1 species
UACGAAGGGGGCUAGCGUUGCUCGGAAUCACUGGGCGUAAAGGGUGCGUAGGCGGGUCUUUAAGUCAGGGGUGAAAUCCUGGAGCUCAACUCCAGAACUGCCUUUGAUACUGAGGAUCUUGAGUUCGGGAGAGGUGAGUGGAACUGCGAGUGUAGAGGUGAAAUUCGUAGAUAUUCGCAAGAACACCAGUGGCGAAGGCGGCUCACUGGCCCGGUACUGACGCUCAGGUGCGAAAGCGUGGGGAGCAAACAGG